rnacentral:rRNA from 1 species
GACGAACGCUGGCGGCGUGCUUAACACAUGCAAGUCGAACGGUGAAGCGCCUUCCUUUUUGGUGGGUGUGGAUGAGUGGCGAACGGGUGAGUAACACGUGAGUAACCUGCCCCCUUCUUCUGGAUAACCGCAUGAAAGUGUGGCUAAUACGGGAUAUUCUGGGUCUGUCGCAUGAUGGGUCUGGGAAAGAUAUUGUUUCGGUGGGGGAUGGGCUCGCGGCCUAUCAGCUUGUUGGUGGGGUGAUGGCCUACCAAGGCGGUGACGGGUAGCCGGCCUGAGAGGGUGGCCGGUCACACGGGGCAUGAGCCACGGCCCAGCCCCCGACGGGGGGCAGCGGGGGGGAAUAUGGCCAAAGGGGGGCAAGCCUGAUGCGGCGGCGCCGGGUGAGGGAUGGAGGCCUUCGGGUGGUGAACCUCUUUCGCCAGGGAAGCAGGCCUGCCUCGUUUGUGGGUGGGUUGGCGGUAGUUGGAAAAGAAGCGCCGGCUAACUACGG